rnacentral:misc_RNA from 1 species
AAUAGUAUUAUCAGCACUCUCAUCACACACCUCUCUACUUGAUACAUCAUCAACGGGAUCUUGCACAGAACGCUCAUCCUUCUGGAAUUGAGAAGGUAAUUCCCUUUUCAGGGAACCACUCUGUCUCUUCCACAUUUCAGCUUUGGACUCCCAUCCUCGACCAUUCACCAUCUGCCUGUUCUCAUCCCAUUCAGCUCCACUAUAAAUGUGAGAUUCAUCCCUAAAGAUACCGUUAUUUCCAUCCCAUCCAUGCAAGUGAGAAGGGCUUGAACCAUCCAACAUAUUCUGCCACCCUAGUGAAUGCAUGUGACUGGAAAAUCUUUCAGCAUCAGGCAUCCGAUAAUGAAUUCCAGAGUGAUUGAUUUCAAGUGGCGGUCUG